rnacentral:rRNA from 1 species
UACAGAGGGGUCGAAGCGUUGUCGGAAUUAUUGGGCGUAAAGCGCGCGCAGGCGGUCCUUUAAGUCUGAUGUGAAAGCCCACGGCUCAACCGUGGAGGGUCAUUGGAAACUGGGGGACUUGAGUGCAGAAGAGGAAAGCGGAAUUCCACGUGUAGCGGUGAAAUGCGUAGAGAUGUGGAGGAACACCAGUGGCGAAGGCGCUUUCUGGUCUGUAACUGACGCUGAGGCGCGAAAGCGUGGGGAGCAAACAGG